rnacentral:rRNA from 2 species
GGAGGUAUCAGAAGUGCGAAUGCUGACAUAAGUAACGAUAAAGCGGGUGAAAAGCCCGCUCGCCGGAAGACCAAGGGUUCCUGUCCAACGUUAAUCGGGGCAGGGUGAGUCGACCCCUAAGGCGAGGCCGAAAGGCGUAGUCGAUGGGAAACGGGUUAAUAUUCCCGUACUUGGUGUUACUGCGAAGGGGGGACGGAGAAGGCUAUGUUGGCCGGGCGACGGUUGUCCCGGUUUAAGCGUGUAGGUGUGUGUUCCAGGUAAAUCCGGUUCACUUUAACACUGAGGCGUGACGACGAGGCACUACGGUGCUGAAGCAACAAAUGCCCUGCUUCCAGGAAAAGCCUCUAAGCAUCAGGUAACAUCAAAUCGUACCCCAAACCGACACAGGUGGUCAGGUAGAGAAUACCAAGGCGCUUGAGAGAACUCGGGUGAAGGAACUAGGCAAAAUGGUGCCGUAACUUCGGGAGAAGGCACGCUGACACGUAGGUGAAGUGAUUUACUCAUGGAGCUGAAGUCAGUCGAAGAUACCAGCUGGCUGCAACUGUUUAUUAAAAACACAGCACUGUGCAAACACGAAAGUGGACGUAUACGGUGUGACGCCUGCCCGGUGCCGGAAGGUUAAUUGAUGGGGUCAGCGCAAGCGAAGCUCCUGAUCGAAGCCCCGGUAAACGGCGGCCGUAACUAUAACGGUCCUAAGGUAGCGAAAUUCCUUGUCGGGUAAGUUCCGACCUGCACGAAUGGCGUAAUGAUGGCCAGGCUGUCUCCACCCGAGACUCAGUGAAAUUGAACUCGCUGUGAAGAUGCAGUGUACCCGCGGCAAGACGGAAAGACCCCGUGAACCUUUACUAUAGCUUGACACUGAACAUUGAGCCUUGAUGUGUAGGAUAGGUGGGAGGCUUUGAAGUGUGGACGCCAGUCUGCAUGGAGCCGACCUUGAAAUACCACCCUUUAAUGUUUGAUGUUCUAACGUGGACCCGUUACCCGGGUUGCGGACAGUGUCUGGUGGGUAGUUUGACUGGGGCGGUCUCCUCCUAAAGAGUAACGGAGGAGCACGAAGGUUGGCUAAUCCUGGUCGGACAUCAGGAGGUUAGUGCAAUGGCAUAAGCCAGCUUGACUGCGAGCGUGACGGCGCGAGCAGGUGCGAAAGCAGGUCAUAGUGAUCCGGUGGUUCUGAAUGGAAGGGCCAUCGCUCAACGGAUAAAAGGUACUCCGGGGAUAACAGGCUGAUACCGCCCAAGAGUUCAUAUCGACGGCGGUGUUUGGCACCUCGAUGUCGGCUCAUCACAUCCUGGGGCUGAAGUAGGUCCCAAGGGUAUGGCUGUUCGCCAUUUAAAGUGGUACGCGAGCUGGGUUUAGAACGUCGUGAGACAGUUCGGUCCCUAUCUGCCGUGGGCGCUGGAGAACUGAGGGGGGCUGCUCCUAGUACGAGAGGACCGGAGUGGACGCAUCACUGGUGUUCGGGUUGUCAUGCCAAUGGCACUGCCCGGUAGCUAAAUGCGGAAGAGAUAAGUGCUGAAAGCAUCUAAGCACGAAACUUGCCCCGAGAUGAGUUCUCCCUGAGACUUAGAGUCUCCUGAAGGAACGUUGAAGACGACGACGUUGAUAGGCCGGGUGUGUAAGCGCAGCGAUGCGUUGAGCUAACCGGUACUAAUGAACCGUGAGGCUUAACCUUAC